ensembl:lncRNA
AUGUCAGUGGUUCGAAGGGACAAGGAAAGCUUUAGGAAUGAAAGCCGCCGGAUGUCCCGCACAUACAGCAUUGCUCAAACAGACAGGAACCUGGCAGAACACAUUGACAGAAAAAUCAAUGGGUUUUCGGAAGAGCAGGGGGACUUUCCAGCUUAUUCCCCGUAUCAGUAUGCAUAUGAGGGGAGAGGUAGUGACUGCCAGUCACUGGAUCAGCUGACUGUUAGCAACCUUGGUGAUAACCUGGAUUUCCUGCAGACCCUCGGGCCCAAGUUCAACUCUCUGGGUGGGAUCUGUCAACAGUCAAUGGAGCGCAGGAAUGUCCGGCUGUGAAAAUGGAUGACGAUUUGAGGCUUUAUAUCCUUCCACAUUUCUAUAAUGCUUGUUGCUGUAAAGGGGUUCCAAGGAGGUUUGUGUGUGUGUGUGUGUGUGUGGUAAUUGGUUUGUUUUUUUUGUUUUUGUUUUUUUGGAGAAAGUGCUCUAGGCCAUUGUUGCUCAAAGACAUGCCCUGAAAUUAAGCAGCAUUAAACCUGUACAGGUGCAGGAUGAUUAUGGAUAUAAGCUGUGAACAUUACAUCUUCAGUGCCAAUACUGCCUGCCCUCAAGGAACUAUAGGAUACACUUUGCAUUUGCGCUCACGAUGGAUGUGUAAGGAAGCAUGUUGGGUGAUUAAAAUCAAAACUCAUGCCUGCAUCCCACCAGCUUGUCUGAGAGGAUCAGAGGUGGUUGGUGGCGUGGACUCUAGUGGUCUCCACAGUGACCAGUGAGCUUCUUCUCUGAUUGAUGCACUGACAAGCCGCUGUUCUGUUUGGAUCUCAAGAUCAUCACAAAAACAAUUAUUUACGCUGAUUGUGUAACUGAGUGUUUGUCUGGGGUUCUCCUGCACUUGCUGUCUUUAGCUACCAUAUUGUUUCACAAUUUGCACUUGUGUAUUUAAAGGGACAGUCCGGCCAAAACUGACAAUUCUAUCAUUUACUCAUCUUCAUGUCGAUCCAAUCCUAUAUGGAAGCUCAUGUCCAACCACAGAUAUAAAAUAUAAAAAAGGAAAUUGCAACUAUUUUCUCACAGUUACGAGUUUAUAUCUCACAGUUUUGAUUUUUUUCUAACAAUUUAAAGUUCUGAAUUUUUUCUUAUAUAUAUAUAUAUGUGUGUGUGUGUGUGUGUGUGUGUGUGUACUGUAUAUAUAUAUAAUAAACCCAUUGACUGGACUGGAUAUUCCA